ACUAAAUAAAAUUUUUAAACGGUUCAGGAAUUCCGUGAAUCUUUUCAUAACCUGCACUAUAGUUUCACGCGUAUUAAAGAUCCAGCGGUGCCUGACAAAGCGCCGGGUGAGUGUUCAUAUCUGCCAUUUUAAAAUAAUGUUAAUAAAUGUAAUUCUGUCCACUAUGGCAAAAUAGGAUUUUAUUUUAGAUUUAGUGGAAUCUUUAACCAAGUCUCUGAUUAAGACAUGUGUAUACGUGCACAGAUGGUGACAGAGAAACUUAUAUAUGACGUUAAUAAUCUUUUAAAUGUUUUUAAGACGUAUUCACCCCAUUUUGGGGUUUUAUUUUUAAUUAAAGGCUUCUUAAAACAUGUGUGAAUAUGUGUGUAUUAUACAAAGAGUCUUAUAUUGUCUGCUCUGACAAAAAUAAAGUCUUUUUUAGGUUUAGGGGAAUUGACUGCGUGUGUCUUAUAAAUACAACUUGAUAAUAUGUUUGUUUUGUAAAGAGACUUCUUUAAAGUCACGCAAGAAUAAAAUAUUUUAGAUGUAACUGGUUAAACUUAAAGCCGAUAUUUUCUAUCGAACUAGUCUAUUUUCUGUUCAGACACAAAGUUUUCUGAUGCUGAUAUUAUGUCAGUGUGUGUUUGUGUGGGGGUCGUGUGAUGUAAUCUUUGAAAGUUUAUGACCGAACCUUUAUUGGGGAGCGACAAGAGAUCUCCCGGAAUCAGUUUGGAUGGAGCAGAGCUGUUAUACUCAAGUCUGUUGCGAAAUUGUCUAAACUGGUAUUAACUAUUCCUGGUAAAUCGCGGAGAAGAGUGGCCUGAACAAAAAAGUCAGACCGAGACUAGAACCUCCCGCAGCGUAACACGGAAAUCUUGGAACAAAAGAGACGCCGACUGGCUCGUGUUGUCCGGUUUGGAUAUCAGAGGCAAAGCGAACGUUGUGUGUACUAUUGCAAAAUAUAUAGCGGAUCUCCACGGUUAGGAUACAGACCACGACGCUUUGGACGUAUCUUUAAAAAAGAUUAAAAUCAGAGACUUUUUGGAUUUGUCUGGGGACAUUUUAAACAUUUUGUGGCAAAUUGGAUUUAAAACAUUUCGGAUACUGGAUACCUAGUUUGAUUUGUCCACAGAGCUUGUUUAAGACGUUUU